UGAAUCCGGGAGGCGGAGGUUGCAGUGAGCUGAGAUCGUACCACUGCACUCCAGCCUGAGUGAUAGAAUGAGACUGCGUUUCCAAACAAAACAAAAUUUCAUACAUUGCCCAAAGUGACCUAAAGAUUUCCCAAAUCAACUUCUAAAUUUAUUACAGAUACACUGAGAUAUAGAGCAUUGCAAUGACUUAAGUGAGUUUCUUAUAAGGAAAUGAGUAUAUGUUUGGGUAAUGAAUGGCAUUGGAGUCUGUUUGCUGCUUCUGUUUCAUAUCCUCAAAGUAAUCACACCAAGACAACUCAUGGUUGUUAAUCACUAGACCUUCAGGUUGGAACUGCCAUAAAUAUUGAUAAUGCCCAGGCCAGUGCCUCAGCUGGAAGUCCAAUGUUUCUUCAUAAUCAUGAUGAAGCCACUUCAUCAUUUUCUAAAUGAGACAGUUACCUCAUGAGUAUCUCAUAACAAUUUCCCUCAUAUAUAGAUGGACUUAAUUCUAAACAUUCUAAUAAUAUUUCUUGAUUUAGCUUGUAUGUUUCCAUGUUAAUCACUGUUGAGGUUGUGAGAAUAAUUACAUUUAUUCUAUUGUAAUGGAGAUCAUACUAAGUACUGGGAGUGAAAAUAGUUUCUAGGAGGCAUAAGAAAUUCUUUGAUUUGAACAUGCUGGGAUACUUCUUUUAAUGGAUCGACGUUGGAAAUGUGUAGCAAUUACAAGGAGCUGGAAAGUUAUUCUGAAAGCCCUAUGUUUUCAUUUUUAUAGCAGCCUCCCAAUUAUGCUUUCAUUUAAUAUUUAGUUCUUCUCUGGCAUAGGUAGCUAGAAAAGAUAAAAUUAAGACUUCACCCAUCAUAUUAUGUUUGUGCAAUUGUGGAAUUGUUUUAUCAUAACAAAUAUAGCUAUUGUGUUAUGUUAAUAUUGACGUAUCUAUUGAAGGGCAUCUGUAUGCUCCUGUGGCUGCAUUUUUUAUUUACUGGGUAUGUUGGACCUCAUUAAAAUGAGGCCACUUCAUACUGUAAACUACUUUUUCUGCAAAGAGUAAGUAAGGACAGCUUGUGAUGGGUGACCUCUGGCCCAAUAUUAUGAUAUGUCUGGGAGAGAGUGGCUGGAAGACCUUCAGAUCAGAAGAAAAUCUUCCUAUUUAUUUUGAGAAACACUAAUUGUCAGGUACAGAUGGUCUCAUGAUGGUUUAAUGACUUUUCAACUUUACAGUGGUGCUAAAGCAAUAUGCAUUUCAGUGUGCUCCUUGACUUAUGAUGGGGUUAUGUACAGAUAAGCUGGAUAUUGUAAGUUGAAUUAUGAUGUUUUCGAUUUAUGCUGGAUUUAUCAGGAUAUUACCCCACUGCAAGUCAAGGAGCAUCUGGAUAUUCCUGUGGUGUUUUAUCACUUUGUCAACCUAGCUAAGCAAGGAAUAUGUUUCAGAUAACUUUUUCCUAGUACGGUUCCAGGUUAGAGUCGAUCAUGGGGGAAGAAAUGCAUGAAGUUUGUAAGAGGAAAGUAAAACAGCUGGCACUGAGUUGUGAAGUCAUCACUGGCUCCAGGCAGUGAGAAGUGGCAUCAAAAGUGCCGACAGUCUUUCCCCAUCCCAUCACCUCUGGAGAAUGGCUUGUACAUAGAGCACAGAUAACACUAUGGGCCUGUGUCUCUCCCACCGCCAUGAAGGUCCCUGGCUCCAUCCUCUGGCUCAGAGAAUGACUGAUGUGGAGGUACUUUGGGGACUGAGUGAUUCCGCCAUCCACGGUGUCUGGAAAAGAAAGAGAGGCAUGCCUGAAGUACAGCGCAGGGAGGUGCCUGAUGCUGCUGUCCCUUAGGGAAGCCUUGGAUUUGGAACUUGCAGCAUUCCAGAUAGGAAUUUUCUCCCUGAACCCAGGACUCACUUGCUCCGAGGAGACAAAGGACCACACAGCAGAGCACCUGGUUGCUCAUAGUGGAAAGGGGGCCUCCUUGUAGCUCCAAGCACUUGUGGGAAGACAAUGAGAAAAGAGGCUUGGCUCUGGGACUUCUCCUGACCUAAUGUGCAGAGUUUGUCAGUGGCUGGAACGAAGAGGUGGGAGGUUCCUGGAAAUACUCAAGACAGGCUUUCUAAUUUUGCAGAUGAGGAGACAGGACAAAGAGCAGAGUCACUGGCACCUCCCAUAACUCUGCGUUGCAUCUGUGCUGAGGGGGCUGGCACCCCACGUUUCCGGGCCAGAGUUUCACUCCAAUUGGCCCAUUGGUUUUUAUCUUUCCAGCGACCGUAAGGUUUGGGUUCCUCUAGAGCGCUGUAGACACUCUGAUUAUACAAGAAUGUGGAGUUCAUUUAUUUUUCCUUUUUUUAAAAACAAAACAAAACAAAACAAAAAAAACAUUGAUACAUAAUGUGUGUACCUAUUUGUGGGUACCUGUGGUAUUUUGUUAUAUGCAUAGAAUGUGUAAGGAUGAACUCAGGGUAUGUAGGAAGUCCAUCCCCUGGAGAACUUAUCAUUGUUUAUGCCCUCAGCUCUCUCGGGGAAAGAUGACCCCUGGGGUCUGGCCAGUGGUGCUAUGGCCACUGUGACAGCCUUUUGCUUAGCUGUCCUGCUGCACAGAGCCCAGCGCUGCUGUUCCAGGUCCUUCACGCAAUCACAGCAAGACCUUGCCUCCUUUGACCACCUUCCACCUUCUAACUGGUUGGUUUCACUCACGUCCUUCUCAUUCUCCUACUUGUUUCUUUGUCUUUGCCUUUGUCCUGACUAAAUUUUCUUUUGGGUUUACUCUCCCUUGGUCAUCUUUUAAUUUAUUUUUCAUGACUGGGAUAAUUUUGUCUUUUUCUUUCAUGUCCCUCCUGAGUUCAAUCAAUUUUUUUUUCUGAUGUCUUCCCAUUUUGGCCAUUUCUAGUCUGAGUUUUUGAACUGCUGGUCUGGUUAUGGUCACUUAUACCCUCAGCUGCUUCCUUGAGUGUAUUUAUUUCUGUUUGGAGUGUAGACUUACGUUUUCUUCUGCCUCAUGAUUGCUUUUGAGGUAAGGGAACA